CGGAAGAAGCAUAAACGUGCAAAGUCUAGAUUAAUAGAAAAAUGAUUUCGAGUACAACGAAUUAUAAUGUGGAAGAUCAAGAACCUGCAGCUGAAGACAUUCAAAUUCACGGAAUGAAGCAGCAUUUACUUACAUUUAUAUCACCUUGCAAGAGUGGGACCAUAUUGGAUGACAUAAAAUUCAUCCUGUACUUAAUCUUCGUCUUCGUAGUGAUAAUAGGAACAUUGGGGAAUUCACCCAACAUGUGGUAUUGGUGCAAAAACCAUUUUAGUGAGUCGAUUGUGAACACUAAUUUUCAAGAUGGUAUUAAAGAAAGAAACUUCUAUAACAUGUCAAGCAUAACUCAAUUCUGGAAG